rnacentral:tRNA from 1 species
CGGAGCGUAGUAUAGUGGUAGUACGCAUCGUUUGGGACGAUGUAGUCCGAGUUCGAUUCUCGGCGCCCCGACAA